rnacentral:rRNA from 1 species
GAACGCUGGCGGCGUGCCUAACACAUGCAAGUCGGAUGUGCCGCAAGGUGCAUGGCAGACGGGUGAGUAACGCGUGGGGAACCUACCUCUUUGUGGGGAAUAACGUUCCGAAAGGAAUGGUAAUACCGCAUGAGACCGAUGGCUGGGAUGCUGUCGGUGAAACCCGGGGACCGCAAGGCCUGGGGCAAGGAGAGGGUCCUGCGUCUGAUUAGCUAGUUGGCGGGGUAACGGCCCACCAAGGCGUCGAUCAGUAGCCGGCCUGAGAGGGUGAUCGGCCACACUGGAACUGAGACACGGUCCAGACUCCUACGGGAGGCAGCAGUGGGGAAUUUUGCGCAAUGGGCGAAAGCCUGACGCAGCAACGCCGCGUGGGUGAUGAAGGUCUUCGGAUCGUAAAACCCUGUCGUCAGGGACGAAGGUUGCAUGUCGAAUAGAUGUGUAACUUGACGGUACCUGGAGAGGAAGCCCCGGCUAACUCUGUGCCAGCAGCCGCGGUAAUACAGAGGGGGCAAGCGUUAUUCGGAAUUAUUGGGCGUAAAGGGCGCGUAGGCGGUGUCUUAAGUGAGAUGUGUAAUCCCCGAGCUUAACUUGGGAACUGCAUCUCAGACUGGGGCGCUAGAGUGCUGGAGAGGGUGGUAGAAUUCCACGUGUAGCGGUGAAAUGCGUAGAGAUGUGGAGGAAUACCAGUGGCGAAGGCGGCCACCUGGACAGUAACUGACGCUGAGGCGCGAAAGUGUGGGGAGCAAACAGGAUUAGAUACCCUGGUAGUCCACGCUGUAAACGAUGAACACUUGGUGUGGUGGGAGUUGACCCCCGCCGUGCCGUAGCUAACGCGAUAAGUGUUCCGCCUGGGGAGUACGGUCGCAAGGCUGAAACUCAAAG